rfam:Clostridium sp. C105KSO13 isolate C105KSO131 genome assembly, contig: {contig161}
CUCUUAUUCAGAGCGGUGGAGGUACAAAGGACCUGUGAAACCGCGGCAACCCCUGCACAGGAAGGUGCCAACCUGAGCGAGUAAUCGAACAAUAAGAG